ACUCCUGCGGGAGGCAGCAGUGGGGAAUAUUGGACAGUGGGCGCAAGCCUGAUCCAGCCAUGCCGCGUGAGUGAUGAAGGCCCUAGGGUUGUAAAGCUCUUUCACCGGUGAAGAUAAUGACGGUAACCGGAGAAGAAGCCCCGGCUAACUUCGUGCCAGCAGCCGCGGUAAUACGAAGGGGGCUAGCGUUGUUCGGAUUUACUGGGCGUAAAGCGCACGUAGGCGGACUAUUAAGUCAGGGGUGAAAUCCCGGGGCUCAACCCCGGAACUGCCUUUGAUACUGGUAGUCUUGAGUUCGAGAGAGGUGAGUGGAAUUCCGAGUGUAGAGGUGAUAUUCGUAGAUAUUCGGAGGAACACCAGUGGCGAAGGCGGCUCACUGGCUCGAUACUGACGCUGAGGUGCGAAAGCGUGGGGAGCAAACAGGAUUAGAAACCCCAGUAGUCCCAUGAU
rnacentral:rRNA from 1 species